rnacentral:lncRNA from 1 species
CACCACACAAGACUUUUAAAAAACAUUGUGGACUAGUUUUGUUUUUUUUCCCGUAAAAGGUUUUCCAAAUUGGAAUGCUGGCAGCUCUUGCUAUCCCUGAGAAAAAUAGCAAAGCAAGAAUUUUUGUAAUUAGAGCUGCUUAAAAAUCAGAGUUUACCCACAUUGCAGAAUAUUCUCAUGUUUUAACUAAAAUAGCUGUGAUGUCUGAGCCACACUUGGGGCUAAUGAAAAAUGAAGGCCACAAGAAAGAUCAGAUUUAUUUGGAGAAAACAGAAAUCCCACAACCCAAAGGAUGGGAUUUUACAUCAAGACAUCUCCCAGGUUUUGGCAGAAAUGUGAAUAUAAGCAAGCAUACUAUGAGAUACAUGAUCCAGUCACUGUAACCUUCUUUGGAACUAGUAUUGAUCCAGCAGCAGCUUUCAGUACUGAUCCUAAAAACAAAUAAUAUGAUCGGAUCAGAUCAUCACAAAGGGAGCAGGAAUUUGAAGGAUGUAUCUGGGUUAUUCAAACCGAAAACACCUAACUCCAGUUCAUUAAAAAUCAUUUCAUAUUUGUAUAAAAAUAAUUUUUAAAAGAGUCUAGAUGUAGUUAUAAUUUUAAAAGUAGUCAUAUUUCUAGAACCUUCUUUAAAUUCUUGUUAUUUGAAUAUGAAAUUAUUGUAAAUCCAUUGAAUAAAUAACUAUAUUCAUAUAAAAUUUCAAACUAAUACAUACAUUAGAAGUAAGUAUAUUUAUUUCUCAUUGAGAUGAAAUAUUUUUGUCCCACAAUAUUAGAUUUGUAUAUGUGUUUGUGUGUUUGUGUAUUUUAAGUAAUUAAACUUUGAGUUUCAUUUUAAAACUGUGAGAGUAUUUUAUUACAUAAAAAAUUUUCAGACCGAAUGGAAUCUAGAUAUGGAAAGCCUAUCUCUCUCAUAUCUAAAAAUUCUGAUCUAUUUUAGCAGUUUUAUGUGGUUACAUAUAGAAUGAACCCACAGCAUCUAGAUAUUUUUCCAAAUCUGACAAAAAUUUUAGUUACAUCUAGACAAAUAUUUAGACCUCUCGAGUCUAUAAUAUUGCGUGAAAGAAACCCAGUAUAGAAUUUUAUUUUCUUUAUUUUGGGUAAUAUUGUAUUUAAGAUGAC